UCAUCUCUCGAUUCACUCAUCUAUCUUUUCUUUCUCUCUCCAGCAGCCCAGCUCUCGCUGAAACACCACAGCAGAAGAAAAAAAUCAAUGAACUAUUUUCUCUGAAAUCCGCCACAUCAAAAUCCUUUUCACUAAAAACCCACCACCAUCCAACCAUUUUAUCUGAAGUUCUUAAAAAAAAUUCUUAUAAACCCACCUCCAUUAACCUUGAAGAGAAAUCUGAUUUUCUGUUGUUCAACCAAUUUCGUGUUUGAUAGAAACCCAGUUUCUUUUGAUGUGCGACCAUUUCAAUUUCGAUCUUGAUUUUGUCUACAGGUUAAGUGGUGCUAAAAAUGGGUCUUUGUUUCGAAACUCCAGCUCUAUUUGUUUUUCAUAGAACGAAGUAUAUUUUCGAUUCUCAAGGAAGGAAGAAGACCAUUUGUGGGAAAGUUUCUGUUGCAAAUCCUACCCCAAGUUUGAAUUUGAUUUUUGAAGUUAUUUAAUUUUGGGUUUUCUGUUAUUUGACUAUUUCUAGUAUGAUUCCACACAAGACCAAGCGAGGCUGCUGUAGUUUUUAACCGAGGCUUAUGAGGGUAUCCCAACACCAUGGUUAUCCCUGAUGCUCUCAAUAGAUGCAUGAAUAGAGCUUGGCCUGGUCUUGGAGAAGCUCUAAAAGGUAGCAUUGAGAAUAAGAUUCAUGGGAUGGCAACGGAACAAGGAUCGUUGAUGGAAAUUGUAUCCAGAAAAUAUGGUGAUAACUUCAAAUUACGGAGUUGAGCAAGAGUACACCCUCCGCAGAAGUAUGUUUACACAAGGUUGAUGUCUACAUCUUAGAUUUUGUUUUAUGGGAGUUAUUGACUAAUUGAAUGCUAUUUGAGGGCAGCUUAUGAUGCUGCAUCUAAGGUAAGGCAGUGCCCUUCUCUAUGUAUGUCCUGUAUUUUAACAUUCGCUUGUGCAGAUUUGCAAAAGUAACUGGAUGCUGAUCUUGUUGGCAAAAUGGAAAUUGUAACCCUGGAUUUGUUCACUUGUUUGCUUUCUUCAUUUACAAGCUUACCGAAUAGCAACAUAGACAUGGCUUGAACCACUACUGCUGAUGGAUUUAAUGUUGGUGGUCUGGUGUGCUGGUGGUGCUGUUAGGCGAGUGAGGUUGCCGCUGUUGUUAGUGGUGGUGCUUGGGGUGUUGAUGUUGUGACUUGGCGGUUGUAUUUGUAUUGUUGGACUGCAUUUGACUUGGCAAUAGAGUGGGAGAGACUAUACCUGCACGAAAACCUGAUAUAUUUCCAGUCCAACUUAACGGAAGCAACGUUUUCACCACCAUUGUCAGCAGAUCCUCCAAAAGAAAAAGAAAAGGAGGAAGAUGAUCUUGAAGCUGCAAUGAUGUCUUGGUUGAUGGUAAGAUCACUGUUGCUGCUGGAUAAGGAAAGGGUUGUCCUUCUGCAGUUGUGCUCUCAAGCAAGCCAGUGCCAAGGUCAUAAUGACUGAAAUUGUUGUUGAAAUUUUUAGUAUCACUUCACUAUAAGAACCUUGAACUUAUUAAUUGACAGCUGAACCCUUUUUUUUUUAUGAGUUUGGACUAAAUUUUAUGAAUGGAAUUCAAUGUAAUGGAGCUGUCAUUUUGUAUCAAAUGAAUCAGGUUUUAUACGGAAUUUGAAUUUGGAAUUGUUCAUUUGAAUUUGAAUUUUAGUAAUUUAAUU